rnacentral:rRNA from 1 species
CUUGGUCAUUUAGAGGAAGUAAAAGUCGUAACAAGGUCUCCGUUGGUGAACCAGCGGAGGGAUCAUUACUGAGUUUACGCUCUACAACCCUUUGUGAACAUACCUAUAACUGUUGCUUCGGCGGGCAGGGUCUCCGUGACCCUCCCGGCCUCCCGCCCCCGGGCGGGUCGGCGCCCGCCGGAGGAUAACCAAACUCUGAUUUAACGACGUUUCUUCUGAGUGGUACAAGCAAAUAAUCAAAACUUUUAACAACGGAUCUCUUGGUUCUGGCAUCGAUGAAGAACGCAGCGAAAUGCGAUAAGUAAUGUGAAUUGCAGAAUUCAGUGAAUCAUCGAAUCUUUGAACGCACAUUGCGCCCGCCAGCAUUCUGGCGGGCAUGCCUGUUCGAGCGUCAUUUCAACCCUCAAGCUCUGCUUGGUGUUGGGGCCCUACAGCUGAUGUAGGCCCUCAAAGGUAGUGGCGGACCCUCCCGGAGCCUCCUUUGCGUAGUAACUUUACGUCUCGCACUGGGAUCCGGAGGGACUCUUGCCGUAAAACCCCCAAUUUUCCAAAGGUUGACCUCGGAUCAGGUAGGAAUACCCGCUGAACUUAAGCAUAUCAAUAAGCGGAGGA